rnacentral:lncRNA from 1 species
AUGUUAGACUGGUCCACGCUGAUAUCAAGUCCUGGAGACAGCAUGAAAAUCCGCUCGGCCCCGCGGGUCCCCAGGGUGCGGCGCCUGCCACGCGCGUGCACGGGGCAGGCUCGGGGCCCGCUGCGCCGCGCUCAGCUGUGUCCUUGCCCGGUUCCUCGCCCCCUGCGGGGCGAGCGGGGCCGGGGGCUUCCUCCCUGCCGGGGCCGCGUCCCCUCCUGGCCGUGCUCAGCCCCUGUGCCCCUGAGAGCUGCGAAGGAAGCGAACGCCCGCGAGCGGCGGGAGCCGUCCCCAGUCUGCGUAGCAGGUCUACCAGGGGCCCCGCCGCGGGACGGAGCUGCCCCCACGCCUCUCACCAGACCCCGUCCCGAUGCCCGUCCCUCUCCUUGGGGUGCCAGAAGGCUGCAGCAGGGCACCCACGGGCUUGCACGGCGCCAGCAGCUCCCACGCAGGCGUCCCACCCACAAAAGCCACGGGGGGGGGGGCGUUGGUGCGGCCAGGGUGCCCCCUUUCCGCGGGUUGCAGCCCCGCUGCCCAUGCGCUCCUCUCCGCUGUUGGGCACAUUGCGGGGGCUCUGGCCCAUUGCAAGCCCCGGGGUGGGCGAGCGCUGCGCCCGGGGCCCUCCGGUGCCACCGCCGAGGGUCCCAGACCCCCCCACCCCGGCUGGGCUGGCACCCGUGGCUGUGCUGGAGCUCGUCCCCACGCAGGACGGGUGCCGGGUGCGUGGCGCAGGGCUGUGAGCCCCCAGCUGCGGGGCUGCCGAUCGCCGUCGCACCCUGCGUGGAUCGGGGCCCCCUGGGCGCUCCCCCUGCGGCGGCGCCCCGUGCGCUCGGUGGCGCGGCCGGCCCCGGCUCGUGCGCGCAGCACCCCGCCGCAGCGCGGAGGCGUUUUCAUGCUGUGCGCCCCUGCAAGGCUCCACGAUGUCGUGCUGGACCAGUCUGGGCAACUUCGACGUAUUAAAGGAAAAAAAAAAAAAAAGGUUGAAGAAAAAGGCAAAAAAAGCCCCACCCGCCCUCUAACCGGUGCCAUGUAAGAGUCCCGCUCGCUUUCCGUGCGGUUGUAUCAGCUCGCCACCCCGCUCCGCUGGUAUCUGCCCUGUAACACUGCCGUGCUGCCCGCAGCUGUCGCCUCCCUGUGCCGUGAUUUGAUUGUCGGUGACCGCCCGGCGGCUCCUGGCGCUGCCCUUCCCCGGGGUGCUGCUGGGGGGCUCCCAGCGGAGGACGGGGAGGGACCGCGGGGAGCCCCGAGCGGGACCCUCGGAGCCGCCCCCACCCCGCCUCGGGGGGUCCCGGUUCCACCCCCGCUCCCGGCAGGCGGCUCCGGGGGCCCGGACCGGAGGAGGAGGGAGGGAGGGAGG